rnacentral:rRNA from 1 species
GACGAGGGACCCUAGCGUUGUUCGGAAUCACUGGGCGUAAAGCGCAUGCAGGCGGAUUGUUAAGUCGGGGGUGAAAUCCCGAGGCUCAACCUCGGAACUGCCUUCGAUACUGGCAAUCUUGAGUCCGGGAGAGGUGAGUGGAACUGCGAGUGUAGAGGUGAAAUUCGUAGAUAUUCGCAAGAACACCAGUGGCGAAGGCGGCUCACUGGCCCGGUACUGACGCUGAGGUGCGAAAGCGUGGGGAGCAAACAGG